GGUAAUUGGCUGGGCGUGGAAGAAGAUGCUUUUCCAUUUCCCCAGACGUCGUGGCCAGCUUGGUGGCCUUGGACGAGUAACUGUACAUCCUCGUCUGUAAAAGAGGGGAGCUCCCGUUAUACCGACAGGCAGCCCGGCGUGGGAGAGAGUAAACCUCUCAGUCGGGAAGACCUGGGUUCGAGUAUCCCCUUGCCCAGUGCCCAAAGGCUCCUUUCUUGGGGAGGCUCUAAGAUGAGGAGGUGCCCGCCGGCUUUUGUGGAGGAAAUGCAUCGAGGGGGAAACGCUUCCUAAAGCAUCACAGCAAUUCCAGAGAAGUGGGACCUCCCACAAGCACUCCCACGUUCCCUCCCCCUGGCUUUCCUUGCCCCUCUCCCCAGUCUCUGUCCAGCUCCCAAGCACCGGCCUUGCCUGCUCCUUCCCCAAACCCACUUACACUGAGCUCUGGUGUUCCCCAAAGAGUCUGCCCCCUACCAGGGUGCCUAUUCAGGCAAUUCAAGCUCAGGAUAUGCCAAAACAGUCCCUGUCCUCAAGUAGCCCACAAUCCAAUGGGGAGAUGCUAUGCAAAUGAGAUAUGGGCAGAAGACAGUGGAAAGGAUGCUCAUUGGAUAGAGAGUUAGGCCUAGAGACGGGAGGUGACCUCCUGAUACUCUGAACCCCAAUCAGUUACCUAGGCCUUGCUGUCCUGCCUUGGAACGGAUACUUCAUAGGGAUUCUAAGACAGAAGACCCUGGCUCACGGGAUGGCGCAUGGCUUUGGUGCGUUUCUACAGUGGUACCCACCUUGGACAAAUUUUAUCAACCGGGACAACUCCAAGGGACCCAUGACCAAAAAGGAUAUCCACCACCAUGGAAGGAACUGGCUGGAGUCUGAAUGCAGAGGGCAGGAGACUAUUCUUCACAUUAUUUUCUCCAUGAAUUUUUCUCUAGCAUAAGCAAUAUGUCUUUUAUUUCACAGUGUGACGAAUCUGGAAAUAUAUGUCAUAUGAUAGUA